UAGAAGCAUUUGCUGUGCACGAUGGAGGGGCCCGACUCGUCGUACUCUUCCUGCUAGAAGGUGGACACUGAGGCCAGGAUGGAGCCGCCGAUCCACAUCGAGUCCUUGUGUUCAGUGGAAGUGAUGAUCUUGAUCUUCAUGGUGCUGGGCGCCAGGUGCUAAUCUCCUUCUGCUUGCCCUCAGCAAUGCGGGGGUACAUGGUGGUCCCCCGGCAGCACCGGGUUGGUGUACAAGUCCUUAUGGAUGUCCACAUCACACUUCAUGAUCGACGUGAAGGUGGUCUCAUGGAUGCCACACGACUCCAUGCCCAGGAAGGAGGGCUGGAAGAGUUUCUCUGGUCAGCGGAAGCAUUCUUUGCUGAUGGUGAUCACCUGGCCGUCAGGUAGCUCUUAGCUCUUCUCCAGGGACGAGGAGGACACGGCCGUGGCCAUCUCCUGUUCAAGUCUAGCAACACGCAGCACAGCUUCUCCUUGAUGUCGGGCAUGAUCUCGCACUGAGCCGUAGUGGUGAAGGUGGAGCCGUGCUCUGUGGGGAUCUUCACGAGGUAGUCCGUCUGGUCGCGGCCGGCCAGGCUCAGCGGGAGGAUGGCGUGCUGCACCUCGUAACCCUCGCAGAUGGGCACCGUGUGCUUGAUGCCGUUGCCCGAGGCCAUCACAAUGCCGGUGGCGCGACUGGACGCAUGCAAGUGGCAGCACGGCCUGGAUAGCCAUGGCCAGCGUGCUGAACCUCUCGAACAUGGUCUGUGUCGUCUUCUCGCGGUUGACCUUGGGGUUUAGCGAGCCCUCUGUCAGCAGCACCAGGUGCUCCUCGGGGGCCCAUGCCCAGCUCGUUGUAAGAAGGCGUGGUGCCAGUUGUCCCAGUUGGUGACAGUGCCAGUGCUCGAUGGUGUACGUUAGCCUCAGGAUGCCGCGCUUGCUCUGUGCCUCAUCAGCCAUGUACGAGUCCUUCUGGCCCAUGCCCACCAUCACGUCCUGGUGCCGAUGGAGGGGAACGCCUUGCACAUGCCAGAGCCACUGUCUAUGACAGACAGGGCAAUCUCCUCUUCCAUGGCCGUCGUCAGCGCAGCGGACAGCGGAAUGGCGAGCAAACAUAGAGAGCAGCCGGAUUUGGAGAGGGAGCGAAGAUUUUUAAAUACAAAAAUGAAGAACAGGGUUGUCUUUUCUGCUGGGGAACCUCAGCAACAAUAUGCUGUGAGUACCUGAACUUCUGAAGCCCAGCACAGCACCUGGCAGGAGAGCUCCCUCUCUGAUGUCUUUUGAGGAUUAACUGUUCUUAGAUGUAAUGUAUCCAGCUUUACCAGUCUUUGUCUUUGUGAGCUAUGUUUUUUGUGUCUAGUUUUAGAACUCCUUCACUAUUUUGAGGUUAUAAAUAGAGUCCUCUACAUUGUCUUCUAGAAGUUUUAUAAUUUUGUUCUAGUAUUUGGCUUUUAAUCAACUUGGAAUUCAUAUAUAAAGUGCAUAUAAACAAAUUUUAGUAUUAGUUUUUCAAGUCCCACCAAAUAAGUUUAUUGUGAUUUUGAUUGUAACUACUUUAGGUCUAUAAUUUAGGAAAUUGAUAUCUUGAAGAUUU
ensembl:lncRNA